GCCAGACUCCUACGGGAGGCAGCAGUGGGGAAUAUUGCACAAUGGGGGAAACCCUGACCCAGCAACGCCGCGUGAAGGAAGAAGGCUUUCGGGUUGUAAACUUCUUUUAUGAGGGACGAAACAAAUGACGGUACCUCAUGAAUAAGCCACGGCUAACUACGUGCCAGCAGCCGCGGUAAUACGUAGGUGGCAAGCGUUAUCCGGAUUUACUGGGUGUAAAGGGCGUGUAGGCGGGACUGCAAGUCAGAUGUGAAAAUUAUGGGCUCAACCCAUAACCUGCAUUUGAAACUGUAGUUCUUGAGUGAUGGAGAGGCAGGCGGAAUUCCGUGUGUAGCGGUGAAAUGCGUAGAUAUACGGAGGAACACCAGUGGCGAAGGCGGCCUGCUGGACAUUAACUGACGCUGAGGCGCGAAAGCGUGGGGAGCAAACAGGAUUAGAUACCCCAGUAA
rnacentral:rRNA from 1 species